rnacentral:tRNA from 1 species
GGGGACGUAGCUCAGUUGGGAGAGCGCGGCGUUCGCAAUGCCGAGGUCGGGAGUUCGAUCCUCCUCGUCUCCA